AACGAACGCUGGCGGCAUGCUUAACACAUGCAAGUCGAACGAGACCUUCGGGUCUAGUGGCGCACGGCUGAGUAACGCGUAGGAACGUACCCCAAAGUGAGGGAUAAGCACCAGAAAUGGUGUCUAAUACCGCAUGUGGUCUUCAGAUUAAAGCUUCGGCGCUUUGGGAACGGCCUGCGUAUGAUUAGUUUGUUGGUGAGGUAAUGGCUCAGCAAGACUAUGAUCAUUAGCUUGUCUGAGAGGAUGAUCAGCCAGACUGGGACUGAGAACGGCCCAGACUCCUACGGGAGGCAGCAGUAGGGAAUUUUCCACAAUGGACGAAAGUCUGAUGGAGCAACGCCGCGUGCAGGAUGAAUGCCUUCGGGUUGUAAACUGCUUUUAUAUGUGAGGACAUCGACGGUAGCAUAUGAAUAAGGAUCGGCUAACUCCGUGCCAGCAGCCGCCGUAA
rnacentral:rRNA from 1 species